rnacentral:rRNA from 1 species
GACGGUGCGGCAGCCUAAACAUGCAAGUCGAGCGAGAUCUUCGGAUCUAGCGGCGGACGGGUGAGUAACGCGUGGGAACGUACCCUCUUCUGCGGGAUAGCCACUGGAAACGGUGAGUAAUACCGCAUACGCCCUUCGGGGGAAAGAUUUAUCGGAGGAGGAUCGGCCCGCGUUGGAUUAGGUAGUUGGUGGGGUAAUGGCCUACCAAGCCUACGAUCCAUAGCUGGUUUUAGAGGAUGAUCAGCCACACUGGGACUGAGACACGGCCCAGACUCCUACGGGAGGCAGCAGUGGGGAAUCUUAGACAAUGGGCGCAAGCCUGAUCUAGCCAUGCCGCGUGAGUGACGAAGGCCUUAGGGUCGUAAAGCUCUUUCGCCUGUGAUGAUAAUGACAGUAGCAGGUAAAGAAACCCCGGCUAACUCCGUGCCAGCAGCCGCGGUAAUACGGAGGGGGUUAGCGUUGUUCGGAAUUACUGGGCGUAAAGCGCACGUAGGCGGAUUGGAAAGUAUGGGGUGAAAUCCCAGGGCUCAACCCUGGAACGGCCUCAUAAACUUCCAGUCUGGAGUUCGAGAGAGGUGAGUGGAAUUCCGAGUGUAGAGGUGAAAUUCGUAGAUAUUCGGAGGAACACCAGUGGCGAAGGCGGCUCACUGGCUCGAUACUGACGCUGAGGUGCGAAAGUGUGGGGAGCAAACAGGAUUAGAUACCCUGGU